GACGAACGCUGGCGGCGUGCUUAACACAUGCAAGUCGAACGGAAAGGCCCCCAUCUUGGUGGGGGUGCUCGAGUGGCGAACGGGUGAGUAACACGUGGGUGAUCUGCCCUGUACUUCGGGAUAAGCUUGGGAAACUGGGUCUAAUACCGGAUAGGACCAUGGUUUAGUGUCUCAUGGUGGAAAGAUUAUUGUUUUGGUGCAGGAUGAGCUCGCGGCCUAUCAGCUUGUUGGUGGGGUAAUGGCCUACCAAGGCGUCGACGGGAAGCCGGCCUGAGAGGGUGGACGGCCACAUUGGGACUGAGAUACGGCCCAGACUCCUACGGGAGGCAGCAGUGGGGAAUAUUGCACAAUGGGCGCAAGCCUGAUGCAGCGACGCCGCGUGGGGGAUGACGGCCUUCGGGUUGUAAACUCCUUUCGUUAGGGACGAAGCCACGCUUGUUGGGUGUGGUGACGGUACCUUUGUUAAGAAGCACCGGCUAACUACGUG
rnacentral:rRNA from 1 species